rnacentral:rRNA from 1 species
UACGGAGGGUGCAAACGUUGCUCGGAAUCAUUGGGCGUAAAGCGCACGUAGGUGGCUUGUUAAGUCGGGUGUGAAAUCCCUGGCUCAACCCAGGAAGUGCACUCGAAACUGGCGAGCUUGAGUACUGAAGAGGGUCGCGGAAUUCCCGGUGUAGAGGUGAAAUUCGUAGAUAUCGGGAGGAACACCAGUGGCGAAGGCGGCGACCUGGGCAGAUACGUGACACUGAGGUGCGAAAGCGUGGGGAGCAAACAGG